rnacentral:rRNA from 1 species
UACGUAGGGACCGAGCGUUGUCCGGAAUCAUUGGGCGUAAAGAGCGUGUAGGCGGCCUUUUAAGUCCUGCGUGAAAUCCUGCGGCUCAACCGCAGACGGUCGUGGGAAACUGGAAGGCUAGAGUGCGGGAGAGGAGAGUGGAAUUCCCGGUGUAGCGGUGAAAUGCGCAGAUAUCGGGAAGAACACCCGUGGCGAAGGCGGCUCUCUGGAACGCAACUGACGCUGAGACGCGAAAGCGAGGGGAGCAAACAGG